GGGGGCUUAGCUCAGUUGGUAGAGCGUCUGAUUUGCAUUCAGAAGGUCAGGAGUUCGACUCUCCUAGCCUCCACCA
rnacentral:tRNA from 1 species